rnacentral:rRNA from 1 species
GAUGAACGCUGGCGGCGUGCCUAAUACAUGCAAGUCGAGCGAACGGACGAGAAGCUUGCUUCUCUGAUGUUAGCGGCGGACGGGUGAGUAACACGUGGAUAACCUACCUAUAAGACUGGGAUAACUUCGGGAAACCGGAGCUAAUACCGGAUGAUAUUUUGAACCGCAUGGUUCAAAAGUGAAAGACGGUCUUGCUGUCACUUAUAGAUGGAUCCGCGCUGCAUUAGCUAGUUGGUAAGGUAACGGCUUACCAAGGCAACGAUGCAUAGCCGACCUGAGAGGGUGAUCGGCCACACUGGAACUGAGACACGGUCCAGACUCCUACGGGAGGCAGCAGUAGGGAAUCUUCCGCAAUGGGCGAAAGUCUGACGGAGCAACGCCGCGUGAGUGAUGAAGGUCUUCGGAUCGUAAAACUCUGUUAUUAGGGAAGAACAUAUGUGUAAGUAACUGUGCACAUCUUGACGGUACCUAAUCAGAAAGCCACGGCUAACUACAUG